rnacentral:rRNA from 1 species
AACGAACGCUGGCGGCGUGCCUAACACAUGCAAGUCGAGCGCGAAUGGAGCAAUCCUAGUAGAGCGGCGCACGGGUGCGUAACACGUGGGUAAUCUGCCUCAAAGCCCGGGAUAACCUGCCGAAAGGCAAGCUAAUACCGGAUAAGCCUACGGACUCUUCGGGGUCUGAAGGAAAAGGUGGCCUCUGUAUACAAGCUAUCACUUUGAGAUGAGCCCGCGGCCCAUCAGCUCGUUGGCGGGGUAACGGCCACCAAGGCAACGACGGGUAGCUGGUCUGAGAGGACGGUCAGCCACACUGGAACUGAGACACGGUCCAGACUCCUACGGGAGGCAGCAGUGGGAAUUUUGCGCAAUGGGCGAAAGCCUGACCCAGCAAC